rnacentral:rRNA from 1 species
GACGAACGCUGGCGGCGUGCUUAACACAUGCAAGUCGAACGGAAAGGCCCUGCUUUUGUGGGGUGCUCGAGUGGCGAACGGGUGAGUAACACGUGAGUAACCUGCCCUUGACUUUGGGAUAACUUCAGGAAACUGGGGCUAAUACCGGAUAGGCGCUCCUGCUGCAUGGUGGGGGUUGGAAAGUUUCGGCGGUUGGGGCUGGACUCGCGGCUUAUCAGCCUGUUGGUGGGGUAGUGGCUUACCAAGGCUUUGACGGGUAGCCGGCCUGAGAGGGUGACCGGCCACAUUGGGACUGAGAUACGGCCCAGACUCCUACGGGAGGCAGCAGUGGGGAAUAUUGCACAAUGGGCGGAAGCCUGAUGCAGCAACGCCGCGUGCGGGAUGACGGCCUUCGGGUUGUAAACCGCUUUCGCCUGUGACGAAGCGUGAGUGACGGUAAUGGGUAAAGAAGCACCGGCUAACUACGUG